GGGCAGAGGGAGCAGUGCUUGGGUUGGAGAUGGUUGGCAUGUUUCUCUCUGGAGCUACAGGAUGAAGUGCCGAGGGACUCAACAUGUGGAAAUCUAAGUCUCUGAGGAUUCCUGUGUGACCAAAGGCUGCAUUUCUCUUCUCAAAGCAGGUCUACCCCUGCGGUGCUGCUGUCCACACGUGGGGAGCUGGUAGAGGACAAGGACAACUGCAAAGAAAGUCAGCUUUUGAGCGUUCCUUUGUGGAGCUGAAAGAACAUAAAGUCAUCACAGAGAGCCUCAUUAAAAUGUUUAAUGAGAGCAGUGCAAUCCCACAGCCCAAGGAUCAGUGUUUAUAGCAAGGAUUGCCCAGAAGCUUCAUCCCACCAGAGCCAGGUAUCACCAGGAGAACCCAUUCACUGAGGGGCACACUGACUGCUGUCACCAACAGCCAGACAAGCACAGGAGACAAAGCAACCCAAGAGAACUACAGCUGGGUAACAACACCAGUGCGAAUUUCUCAGCCCAGAACAAGCCAAGAUUCAUUUCUGGCCAAAAUUCCUGCACUAAUGUUAACCACCAUCUGAUUAAAUGAUUUUCCUGAGAUCCUGAUGCAAGUCAUUGUCUCAGAAAGGACUCACAUGGGCAUGCUGCAGCCCUGGUUCCCUGCUGCCCACCUCUGCCUCUGGUUGCUCCAGUGCCCUGUGCAGCCCCAUCACCUGCACUCUGCUCCCCGCUGGAAAAACAUGCUCGUUUUCAAAGGUAAGGGAGUCUUGGGUUACUAGGAACACAAAUCAUUACGAGUAAAACUGCAUUCCCAAUUUAUUGUAUUUGUUUUAUUUAUGAUUUUAUUACUUAUUCCACAUUUUCCAUAUUUUCCAUGUGUUUCGCGUCAUUCUGGUCCAUUUAGGCCUUGACGUGGAAACUUGGGCUCUUCUCCCUGCCUGACGUGUUGAAGGCUUUAUAAACAGCCUUGUUUCAUUGUUUGCUCUGCCUGUUUCCAUCCUGCAGGUGUGUGGCUGAAGCUGUGCUUGAGACAAAUCCGAAUGCUUUCUGCCUGGGGAACAGGAUGGGGCUGAAGGUGAAAAAAAAGCAGCAAUUAAUGCAGUAAGUGGUGAAAAUUAAGCAAAUUGUUCAAGUGGUGCUUUAACAAAUAACAGUUUGAGACUUUUGAUUUGUGGGUUUUCUUUUUUGUGUUAAGGAAAGAAGAAAGGAGGAGAUUUUUUGCAUGCAGUCAACAUGUUGCAUGUGCACAUCCGGAGUUCUCACUGACCCAAAAACCAAUUCACUGACUGAGGAAACUCCUCCCCAUGUUGGUUCAUUCCCUGUGCUGCACAUCUGCUCCUGGAAGAGCCUGCCAGAAAGUGGAAAAUUACUGGUGCUGAUCACCUUUCCAACCAUUCUGGGUGUAAGAUGGCACAAGAACAGUUUUGCAAAGCUGACCUCAACGAGACGCUACGACCCACUGCUCAUCCUCUGGAUUCACAGGACACCAAGUCCUGCCUAAAUGCAAGAACCUCAGAGCAUCAGCAGGACAUCCCACCCAGCCAGAGAACCUAGAGGAAGCUUCUGAGCUUGUAUGAGUCACUCAUCAUCUCAAGCAGUAUUAGAAGGAAAUUGCCUUAGGGCACUGUCAUCACCAUUUGUGAGUAUUUGUUGACAGCAAAUGUCUGUGCUACUGUUACGAACCUCAGGCUGGGCUAGGUUUGAACCUAAGAUCACCACUUUUAGCACAUAUGCAUUGGCCAGCUGGGCUGAAAAAAUGGAGAAUUCAGCAUCACCAGAAGCUGGCAGUUGCUUUAAAGUUAACGUGCAUCUGUGCAUAGCCUUUGCCAGCAACAAAUGCAGACUGAUGGACUUAGCUUAGCUGAGAACAAAAUAUUCUUACAUCCCAAUGAACUUACAAAGAGGGAGGUGAAAAAAAUACCAUUCCUGAUCUGGAACUAGACUUCUUAGCAGGGGACAAGACUGCAAAUAGAUACACACACACUACAGCCAUUUUUACACAGUCUUUCACUCCUACAGCUACCAACAACCUUCACAUCAUCCCUGACCCUAGUUCAUGUUCCCAUGGUCUGAUGGCAUCACCAGGAGAGUGCUCACGUGUUCCAGCCAGGGAAAGCAGCACAGACUGGAGGCUUCCCAGACAAGAAUAAGGCUGAUGCAUGUGUCACCCAAAAGCCCCCCUUCUACAUAUUUCAUUGCAAGAGAUCUCGCUAAAUUUACUGCCUACAAACCAAUUGGCAAGCAGGCAUUACAGCUUUUCCUAAAUAAAUAAAUUAAUUAAUUAAUUAAUUAAAAAAAAAAAAAAAUGGAAGCAUCAGAAAGAAGGUGGCUUGGCCAUUUCCUCCCAGUUCUUCCUCCAGGCUGCUCAGCUCAGUCAGUGUAACCUCAUAACCUCAUCACCCUCCUAGCAGACAGCUCUUUCUGCCUCCCAGACAAGGACAAGAAAAACCUUGGUUGAAGCAAAACAGAGAGAGCUUCAUGGCUUCCCCAGAGAAGGGAAAUGCAAGAUGGUGGUUAGCAUCCCUCUAUCCCAUCUGACAGAGCCUAGAUCCAGUUUUGUCUAAGGCCCAUGGACAAAUUGAUGUACUCACAAAGGGUGGCCAAAUCCUAGCAGAAUUGAAGGCAACUUGAGACCUGGCCAGCCCAAGCAGAGCACGUUGUUGUUUAGAAAUGAUACUCAUUAAGAGCAGAAGUCAGGCAGCAAUCACCUUCUGCAGCUGAUAAUACCGGAGGAGGGAGAUGGUGGAAAAUGAAACCUUGGAAAACAAAACUUAUUUGGUACCAUUGAUUAAAACCAGUUUGUGUUUCAUUGUGAAAGGCUGUGUUUGCUCAAGGUUUAUUCAGCUCUGGUCUCUUCCAUCCACAUACGGUUUGUUUUAAUGACUGUGGAGUUAUAUGAAUCUAUUAAUUUUUUUUCCUGAAAGUUUCAUAAUAACAAUGCCUGUUUUUUUCAUACAGCACUUUACAGCCACGCGUCUGGAAACACACUGCAAAUAGGCAAUUAGUGUCAGCCCUGUUUGGAAGAUGGAGAAACUCAGAGUCCAAGCAAGAUAACUAUUAAAGAAUAGUGCCAAAAUUAGGCCUUCUGCUUCAUCUUGACAAACUGGAACUACAGCCUCUUGAAGACAUCAGGGAUGCACGAAAAGCAUUCCAUUUAGCUAGCAGUAACUCUGGCUCAGGUUGGACAGACAAGAGGACAGCAGCAAAGACAGACUGACUCACGCUAAACAACAGAGGUAGGAAGAGGACUUCCAGUAACGACAGACUUAGGCCACUGCAAC